GGCUCAGGACGAACGCUGGCGGCGUGCUUAACACAUGCAAGUCGAACGAUGAACUAGGAGCUUGCUCUUGGGGAUUAGUGGCGAACGGGUGAGUAACACGUGAGUAACCUGCCCUUGACUCUGGGAUAAGCGUUGGAAACGACGUCUAAUACCGGAUACGAGCUUCCACCGCAUGGUGAGUUGCUGGAAAGAAUUUUGGUCAAGGAUGGACUCGCGGCCUAUCAGCUUGUUGGUGAGGUAAUGGCUCACCAAGGCGACGACGGGUAGCCGGCCUGAGAGGGUGACCGGCCACACUGGGACUGAGACACGGCCCAGACUCCUACGGGAGGCAGCAGUGGGGAAUAUUGCACAAUGGGCGAAAGCCUGAUGCAGCAACGCCGCGUGAGGGACGACGGCCUUCGGGUUGUAAACCUCUUUUAGCAGGGAAGAAGCGAAAGU
rnacentral:rRNA from 1 species